rnacentral:rRNA from 1 species
UACGUAGGGGGCAAGCGUUAUCCGGAUUUACUGGGUGUAAAGGGAGCGUAGACGGCGGUGCAAGCCAGAUGUGAAAGCCCGGGGCUCAACCCCGGGACUGCAUUUGGAACUGUGCUGCUAGAGUGUCGGAGAGGCAGGCGGAAUUCCGUGUGUAGCGGUGAAAUGCGUAGAUAUACGGAGGAACACCAGUGGCGAAGGCGGCCUGCUGGACAUUAACUGACGCUGAGGCGCGAAAGCGUGGGGAGCAAACAGG